AUGAAAACCAGAGAGGCUGGGGAAAGAGAACCAGCACUGAGUCUGUCUCUGCACAGGCCCUUUCCGUGGGUCUGUCAUCUCAUCCCGUCUCACAGUGACCCUGGCUGGAAAUGUUUAACUGCCUUGGAAAAGAAUGACAUUUUUUCUACAUUAAAAAGGCAAAUUUGUGAAGAAGAUCCAAGAUGGCAGCAUGAGUAGUCUUCUUUGUCUCUCCCCCUUCGAAUCUACAACUAAUUGGACAUUCAUUGCUUAACAAAGGAUAUCCAUAUAGCAUCUCAGGACGCCUGAGAGACCCACACUGCUAUACAUUGGAAGGCGGACAGACUCCCCUCCUGGAGGAGGUGGAGAUAGGUGAAAACUCUCCGACCCUGACCCCUGAACAGCCUAGUACCUGCAAGCGGCUUUCUUUCAGCGGACGCCCCCAGAACAUUGCCACACACCAAGGGCAGGAGGGAGCAAACACCAGAGGAGCGACAGUGGAAACAGCUAGAGAGCACAGAAGAACCUGAACUGGCCUCUGUUCCUGCUGAUGUGAACACCUGGUGGACUAAGCGCAGAAGAUGGAGGAACGACAGGGCAUGGUGUCCACGACAAGGAAGACGUCACUCUGCCUCUUCUCCUGCUUCUCCAGGGAUGUGAUGACCUUCAGGAAAAAAC
rnacentral:lncRNA from 1 species